rnacentral:rRNA from 1 species
UACCGGCAGCUCGAGUGAUGACCGAUUUUAUUGGGCCUAAAGCGUCCGUAGCUGGCCGCGCAAGUCUGUCGGGAAAUCCACCCGCUCAACGGGUGGGCGUCCGGCGGAAACUGCACGGCUUGGGACAGGAAGGCUCGAGGGGUACGUUCGGGGUAGGAGUGAAAUCCUGUAAUCCUGAACGGACCACCGAUGGCGAAAGCACCUCGAGAGGACUGAUCCGACAGUGAGGGACGAAAGCUGGGGUCUCGAACCGG